UCUCUCAUGGCGUAGUGGUAACGCGCCCCAACUAGAGAUCGGGGAGUCGUGAGUUCGAUUCUCACUGGGAAAC
rnacentral:tRNA from 1 species